rnacentral:rRNA from 1 species
UACGGAGGGUGCGAGCGUUGUCCGGAAUCACUGGGCGUAAAGGGCGCGUAGGUGGCUCGUUAAGGGGGCGGUGAAAGCCCGGGGCUCAACCCCGGGUCGGCCGUGCCGACUGGCGAGCUUGAGCGUACUAGAGGCAGGCGGAAUUCCGGGUGUAGCGGUGAAAUGCGCAGAUAUCGGGAGGAACACCAAUGGCGAAGGCAGCUCGCUGGGACGUUACUGACGCUGAGACGCGAAAGCGUGGGGAGCAAACAGG